GGUUGAGGCUUGCUAGUAACUGUUGUGCUGAGGCUGGGACGUCCCUAGACCUGUGAACAGACAUUGAUCCUGAACUCUGAGACCCAGAACCCCAGUUUUCACUUGAACUAUGAGACCAGUAACAGGAAUAACCGUUCUCCUGACCUUGGGUAUUAUGGGCGAUGCAAAGUCCACACAGCCAGCUGCAGUGGAGAGUACUGAAGGACAACCUGUGCACCUGCCCUGUGACCACUCCACAAUCAGUGGAAGUGACUACAUAUUCUGGUAUCGACAGAUCCCUCACCAAGGUCCAGAGCAUGUGAUUAACAGUGUCUCACUAAAACAGGUGACAACAACCCUGUUUGCCCCCAAGUCUUGCUUCCUUUGGACCCAGGGAAGUACCCAGGCUCUGGUUAUUACAUCAUAUUAGCUAUUCCAACUUCUGAAAAAACUGAAAUUAAUUUCAGAAACUAAUUUAUUUGACCUUAAGAAAAAUUGGA